UGUGGUCUUGUUAAUAUGUUGUACCCUUGAAUGUUUUUUUGAUGUCUAUUUUUUGAUGAGUUUUGUAGUAAUUUUGAAAUGUAUUCUCGAGGUAUUACUCAAUUUUAUACGUUAUGUGAUACUUUUCUAUUUUUUACCUUGGGAUUUCAAUUUUUGUUGGAAAAAAAUAAUUUCAGUACUUAUCGCUUCUUUAUCUCCUUUGACAGACUUUUUCAUCCUCUAAGAAAUGUAUUUAUUACUGUCAACACAUACUA
rnacentral:lncRNA from 1 species